AUCACGCACCUCCAAACAAUGUCCAGACAAAUAUCUCUCUCACUCUAUUUUGGUUUUCUUAUUAUUCACUUUAAUUCUUAAUUUGGGCGCUCAACACAUCUCUCCACAUACACAAGCCAUAUUAUAAAUCACCAACUUUACCAAGUGAAAAUGCAAUAAUGCCCCUCAUCAUCAUCACUGAACUCGCAGAAACAAAGGGUAGCCUUGACAUUAUCCCCAUUUCGCCAACGGGGGAACUGGGUAGUGCCCUUCAUCAUCAUAUUUUAAAAUAUGGACGAGACCUCCAACGGAUAUAAAUAUUCUUUGAAAAGAGCACUAUAUUCCAUUUUGGUGAGUCAUGUAUAGCCUGUACCUCUCGUACUGAAGACUAUUCAAAAGCUGAGAGUUAGGUCAAGUGGAACAAACACAUGAUCAUGGUGAUGGUGGUGUCAUUCUCCUUCAUCAUCACCCAAGCUAUCAAAGAUUCAAGAGGCAAUGUUUUAUGACAAAAUGAUCUCAUCACAGUACCCUUCACGUUCUGUGAUUGUGCUUCUCAAAUAUGCUUAUUAAAGCUCUUAUAUUUUUACUAGCGAUGGCUGAUGGGUCAAACUUGCCAUAAAAGCACAAAAAUAAAAGAUAAUUGUAUAAUUACCAAAACUUAGGCAAGCACCUGCUGCAGCUAAGUUAUUGGCUUUUAAAGAAAAAAAAGAUAAAAAAGCAUGACUGGGCUUCAUAGAUAAAAGUGAUAGUGGAGAG
rnacentral:lncRNA from 1 species